ACAAAGUUCAACAGAUACUGUGUCUUUCUUAGAAGAAUAAGUUGCAAGGGAAUUUCCUUUUGAAUAUAAUUGGGAAUCUAAUGGAGUAGUUUUUAAUAAUAAAAAAAAAAAAUAGGAGACAAACUCAAAUCAUUUGACAUGUUCCCCCACUCUUUUCUUUCUAAAUAAAUGCUCAAGGCCACACCAAUUUGAUUUCUUGUUCGUCGGGCCCCCGAACACUCGUAUUUCAAUAAAUCUAUACAAAUAAUAUUAUUACUAAUUUCCCACAUCAAGGAUAUUUGUGCUGUUUUCUGUUUUAUUUCCGCUCUAUUCUUCGUAUUUUAGAUAAUUUUAGUCUAUAAUUCAGAAACAAGUAGAAAAAAAUUACAAUCAGCUCAUAUUUAUUCAUUUACCAUCUAAAAAUUUUGUCUACAAAAAAAAAAUUCUAUUAUUUAAUCGUUCGUUUGCUGGUACUGUCUUUCAUUAGAUGUCUGACGAACAAGAAAUUAUAUUGGUGUGGUCCAGUACCCAAAAGCAAUUGGUCCAGGUGAAGAAAUCCUUUGAAAAAAUUCAUUUUUUGAAAGUUUAAAACUAAGCUUAUUAGUUUUUACUAUUUUGUUAGAAAACCUUACCUUAGAUUUUACUUUAUUGAAUGACUAUAAUUUAUUUCCUCUGUAGGAGGGGCAUUAGGUGUUCAAGUAUUGAUAUGAAGCUGAACAAUUUUAAUUCAAUAGAAAUGUUGAUUUAGCCGUCCAUAUAGUUGCAAUGAAAAUGCUUCUGGAUACUGUAUAGUGGGUUAAUUUGGGAGGGGAGGUGCUCAGUUGGCUGCUGAUUUCAAAAUUGAGCUUAUUUAUACUUUAACAUUUAUAGUGAAGAAUUUGAAAUCCCCAACAUUAAACUUGUUAAACAAAUUGCAUGCUAAAAUCUUUGAAAGUCCCCAAAUUUUACACCUCCCAGUAUAAACCACUAUAAAGUAUUGUUUAGCAUAGGCAUAAUAAUUCCAUAACCUAUUUAUUCCCUUAUUGACAUUUAAGUCCAAAGUCUUCAGAGACAGUGUGAAAUUAUUUCCACCCUCUUACUACAACGAAUGACUGCAUAAUAUAGUUUUUAUACUUGAAAAAAUACAUUCCAUACAUAUAGCUUAAGGCAAAAAAGAUUUUAAAAUGUUUAGUUUCUUUGGGCAUUGCUGCAUUAUGUAAAUGCUGCUGUACAUGCAUUGUCAAAUGUUAUUGACAUGUUUUAAACGAGUUAUUCUCUUUUCAUUUCUUUGAUUGAGAACUAAGAAAUUAAUUUUUUUUGCCUUAUUACAGCUGGUAUGACCCAUGUCUUAUUUUAUUAAAAUAAUUCAUAGGUAUAAUUAUAUACGUAUACUGGUAUCUUCCAGCUUUUGUCAUAAAAUUAUUAGGCAAGCUUUUUAUUUCAUUCCCAUUCUAUUUUUUUUUUAUUAUUUAAGAUAUAUAAAUUAUGUGCAAGAUUAAUAGUUUAUAUUUUCCUUAGUAUGGCUUGAAAAUUGUAUAUCUCAUACAUUUACCCUCGCAAAGUAUUCACUCAUGUCAAAUGGCUGCAGAACUACCGGUAUUUAUCACCAAUUGUUAACACAUUAUUAUGAAAAAAUAAACAUUUUUUCAUUCCAUUUAUUAGAUAAACCAAGUCAUUUAC
rnacentral:sRNA from 1 species